GAAUGGACUGAAGGGGGCGCAGCAAAGAUAGCCACUGUUGUCCUGACAACAGAGGUGAAGGAUCUGAUAAGCAGGCAGUGGAUUUGUACAUUGAUACUUUGCUAUCAACCUUCCAUCUCCAGAAUAGGGUACAUUACCUCUCAUAAUGUGGAAAAAAUGGGCAAAAUGUGGAACACCUACUAAAAACUUACUAACAACUUCAAGAAGGAAGCUCAUAAAUGAUUAAAAUGUGCUAUUUUAUACUUAUAAAAAGUUCUUCUGAUGCAUUAAUAUGAUUCAAUAGUAGUAUUUAGCAUGGAUAUCAGUAAAAAAUUCCUAACAUUGAAUGAGUGACAGACCCUUUCAGUGUGGAACUUUGAGGAACAUAAGCUUUUUAAAACCCAAAAUGAGGAACAUUCCUGCUAAUGAGGUCACUUGAGAGGUAUAUUUCUAAAAUGUGUUUUGCUUUCAAUUUCAUUUUCUUGAUAGACUGUCUAUGAUAAAAUACUAUAAUAAAUGUUGAGUUGAGUAGA